rnacentral:rRNA from 1 species
GGCGACGAUCAGUAGCCGGCUUGAGAGAGUGAACGGCCACAUUGGACUGAGACACGGCCCAAACUCCUACGGGAGGCAGCAGUGGGGAAUAUUGCACAAUGGGGGAACUGAUGAGGACGCCGCGUGAGUGAAGAAGUAUUUCGGUAUGUAAAGCUCUAUCAGCAGGGAAGAAAAUGACGGUACCUGACUAAGAAGCCCCGGCUAACUACGUGCCAGCAGCCGCGGUAAUACGUAGGGGGCAAGCGUUAUCCGGAAUUACUGGGUGUAAAGGGUGCGUAGGUGGUAUGGCAAGUCAGAAGUGAAAACCCAGGGCUUAACUCUGGGACUGCUUUUGAAACUGUCAGACUGGAGUGCAGGAGAGGUAAGCGGAAUUCCUAGUGUAGCGGUGAAAUGCGUAGAUAUUAGGAGGAACAUCAGUGGCGAAGGCGGCUUACUGG